rnacentral:tRNA from 2 species
GCCGGUGUGGCGGAAUUGGCAGACGCGCACGACUCAAAAUCGUGUGGGCUUACGCUCAUGUCGGUUCGACCCCGACCACCGGCA